GACGAACGCUGGCGGCGUGCUUAACACAUGCAAGUCGAACGGAAAGGCCCCUUUGGGGGUACUCGAGUGGCGAACGGGUGAGUAACACGUGAGUAACCUGCCCUUGACUUCGGGAUAACUUCAGGAAACUGGGGCUAAUACCGGAUAGGAAUCCUUGCUGCAUGGUGGGGGUUGGAAAGCUUCGGCGGUUUUGGAUGGACUCGCGGCUUAUCGGCUUGUUGGUGGGGUAGUGGCGUACCAAGGCUUUGACGGGUAGCCGGCCUGGGAGGGCGACCGGCCACCUUGGGUCUUGCAUACGGCCCAGACUCCGACUGGGGGCAGCAGGGGGGAAUAUUGCACAAUGGGCGGAAGCCUGAUGCAGCAACGCCGCGUGCGGGAUGACGGCCUUCGGGUUGUAAACCGAUUUCAGCAGGGGCGAAGCUUGUGGUGACGGUACCUGCAGAAGAAGCACCGGCUAACUACGUG
rnacentral:rRNA from 1 species